rnacentral:lncRNA from 1 species
AGAGAGGGGGAGGGAGGAGAGGAGGAAGAGCGCCGCAGCCUCGGCAGCUGGAGUCGGAGCAGGGGGGGAUGGUUUCAAAAAAUAAUUAAAAAUCGAGGAAAUAUCCUAGAAAAGCCCUUUUGGCGUGAAAACCCCAAAGAAGAGCCAGGCUUCCCGAAACAGAGGUUUCGGGUGCCAGAAAGAAGAAUCUACCAUAAAACCAACAGACUCCUCCUGAUCUCUACCUGUGCUGUCUGCCUCUCUAGUUCCGGACACUGAGAGCUGGUGCCCUGUGGCCACCUCAAGCUGGAACCCUGCAAGAUCACCAAGAAGACUGCAUGCCUCGCUCUAGCCUUCCUAAGGGAAAGUAGACUCCUGUUUUUGAGAGAAAUUACCUGAUUUCAAGAGAAACAUAAAGGACUUUUUUUCCCUUAACAUUCCACUCGUAAAAAUGAAGUUUGGAAGAACUUCUGCAAACUCUGAGUGUUUUGGUCAAUUGACCUUUUACUGUACUAAGCAAAUCUGAAGCCACAAAUACAUUGGGGAGGAAGGUAUACCCUUCACAAAAGAUCCGUCACUUAGCCAGAUACUCUGUUGCCAUGCUUCUUUAAAUAAAGCACAUUUCUGGUA